UGAGGAAUAUUGGGCAAUGCCCGAAAGGGUGACCCAGCAACGCCGCGUGGAGGAUGAAGGUCGUAAGAUUGUAAACUCCUGUUAGAGGGGAAGAAUAACUAAGUUUGGAGCUUAGUAUGACUGUACCCUCAGAGAAAGCCCCGGCCAACUACGUGCCAGCAGCCGCGGUAAUACGUAGGGGGCAAGCGUUGUCCGGAUUUACUGGGUGUAAAGGGCGCGCAGGCGGAAUGGAAAGUCAGUGGUGAAAUCCUACAGCUUAACUAUAGAACUGCCUUUGAUACUUUCAUUCUUGAGUUCGGGAGAGAGAGACGGAAUUCCAGGUGUAGUGGUGAAAUACGUAGAUAUCUGGAAGAACACCAGUUGCGAAGGCGGUCUCUUGGUCCGAUACUGACGCUGAGGCGCGAAAGCGUGGGGAGCAAACC
rnacentral:rRNA from 1 species